UUUAGUAGAUCUACUUCAAUUUUUUUGGUUGCAAUUAUGUUUGUGUCAAAAUUAUAGUUUUACUGGAGUAGAAAACGAUAAUCUACAAAUUAAUGAUAUCCGGUUUUUAGCGAGUGGAAAUAACUUUCUCUCGUUAGUGGCUAACUCUCCUUUUGAACUCUUUAAUGUUUUAGCAGCUUCGAACACUUCUAAAGAUUUAAUAAAUAUGGAAUUUCACAUAAAUCAGCUACUUAAGCAUCAUGGAAUUCGAGCCUUUGAAAUUGCCUUAUUUCUAAAAUUUCAGGACAUUUAUAGCGUGUUAUCUAUCAAAAAUUCUAAGAAACUCCUUUUUGGUUGUAGGUUCAUUGAACUCCUACCAAUUUUUAAAAAUUGGGUUGAUAAAAGCUUUAAUGAUCCUCCCAUAAUUAUUAUACUGAGCAUAGUGAAUGACAAUGACAUACCAGCAUUAUUUCGAAGAAAUUUUGCUAAUAAUAUGACCCUAAACCUUAAGUUAACUGAAGAUGCAAUGAAGGCUUCCUUCAAGGGGAAGUAACUACCACAAUAACCUGGCCGACUUUAAAAGAAUCGCGUGGAAAAGUUAUGUUUUGGGGGCUGGGCCUGUAGCAGUAGUUGACGAUUUGGACGUUAAAAAAAUUAGUUUCUUGGUUAAAAAAAAUUUUAUGGUUUUUACAAGAGCCGAAUGCAGUUCUAAAAAAUUAAGUUGUGCUAUAAAAUCGGGUCUCUCUUCCCGUUAACAUAAGCUCUGAAGGAGAUACAAGCUGCAUUUUUCCUACAAAAAAACAAGAUUAUGGUGUAUCCAAAAUUUUUAACUUUGCUUUUAUGCCAAAAUUCAAUGUAGAUAGCUCAAUGGAGGCUAGCACUUUCAGCUCUUUUUAUAAUUACUCUCCCUCAACGUUUGUAUUAAAUCAGCAUAACGUUUUCAGACUUAGAGGUUCCAAUCAAUUUAAAUACAAUGACAAUAUUUAUUGGACGAGCAUUGCUUUAACAGUGCUUUUAAGUUGAAAAUUUGUCAAAAUUUAUUCACAAAGGCAAGUUUCAGCGUAAAAUUUAUUCUAUUUUUUUCCUUUUCACUUUACUUUUGUGGCGCGUGCUUCUUUUUUUAUGGUAACUACCAGAUGCUAUUAUCUCUAAGAGAUCUAGGUGAUAUUCGGCAACGUAUUGUACGAGACCUCGACAACCUCCGAAAUUUAACCCUGUCGCUUGAGGAAGGAGCUUACCAACAAUCCGAUUACAAAUUUAAAGUGCCCUGUAUUUCCCUUUUUACAAAGUUUAUAGCCCUCUUAAGAAAGAGUAUUAACAAAAUUGGAAAAAUAUCAAGAACAAAUGGCAUGAAAGUGCUAGAAUACCGUCAAACUCUGGUGUAUUAUACAGAUGUUACCGUUAAAAUGAUAAACAUUCUUAAAACAAUACAUGGUCCUUGAUAUUGUCGGAUGUGUGCUUUAACCCGGAUGCAAUUGUGUCUAAAUUUUUAAAAGAUAAAGAAGAAAACUUUCAGAUUGUAAAAUACAUUUUUAAUUGUGUUGGUAAUGGGAAUGAUGAAGUUGAAAGGUAUAUUGAUAUCAUUAAAAGAAACCUUGAAGGCGCUAGUUCCCUACAGAAUACUGUUUGCCCUAAUGAAAAAAAAAAUUUCAGUAGCCAUUACAGCCCUUUCGUCCGACUCUUGGAUGAUGUAAAAAAUAGUUUGUUCAAAACUGUUUCCUGUUUAAAGCUAAAAAAUUUUUAUGUGACACUGGUUUAUGAAUUAACAUGCCAACGGACAACUAAUUCCCUUUUAUAUUUUUUUGUGGGCACGUGUUUGUUGGUCGUCGCCCUGGCAUGCUUCAUUUUUGUGUAUAUUGGACACUCUCGGUUUGUCCUUAAAAAAUAGUCCAGAAUAAAAAUUAAGUUGGAA